UACGGGGGGGGCAAGCGUUGUUCGGAAUUACUGGGCGUAAAGGGCUCGUAGGCGGCCAACUAAGUCGGACGUGAAAUCCCCAGGCUCAACCUGGGAACUGCGUCUGAUACUGGAUGGCUUGAAUCCGGGAGAGGGAUGCAGAAUUCCAGGUGUAGCGGUGAAAUGCGUAGAGAUCAGGAAGAACACCGGUGGCGAAAGCGCUCUGCUGGACCUUAACUGACACUGAGGGACGAAAGCUAGGGGAGCGAAUGGG
rnacentral:rRNA from 1 species